rnacentral:rRNA from 1 species
AUUGAACGCUGGCGGCAUGCCUUACACAUGCAAGUCGAACGGCAGCACGGGUGCUUGCACCUGGUGGCGAGUGGCGAACGGGUGAGUAAUACAUCGGUACACGUCCUGUAGUGGGGGAUAGCCCGGCGAAAGCCGGAUUAAUACCGCAUACGAUCUACGGAUGAAAGCGGGGGACCUUCGGGCCUCGCGCUGUUGGGUUGGCCGAUGGGUGAUUAGCUAGUUGGUGGGGUAAAGGCCUACCAAGGCGACGAUCAGUAGCUGGUCUGAGAGGACGACCAGCCACACUGGGACUGAGACACGGCCCAGACGCCUACGGGAGGCAGCAGUGGGGAAUGUUGGACAAUGGGCGAAAGCCUGAUCCAGCAAUGCCGCGUGUGUGAAGAAGGCCUUCGGGUUGUAAAGCACUUUUGUCCGGAAAGAAAUCCUUGGCCCUAAUACGGUCGGGGGAUGACGGUACCGGAAGAAUAAGCACCGGCUAACUACGUG